GACGAACGCUGGCGGCGCGCUUAACACAUGCAAGUCGAACGGAAAGGCCUGCUUUCCCUUGUGGAUUGCGGGUACUCGAGUGGCGAACGGGUGAGUAACACGUGAGUGAUCUGCCCCCAACUUGGGUAUAAGCCUGGGAAACUGGGUCUAAUUCCCGAUAGGACUGCAGGGUGGUGCCUGUGGUGGAAAACGAUUUUCUAGUGGUUGGGGAUGAGCUCGCGGCCUAUCAGCUUGUUGGUGGGGUAAUGGCCUACCAAGGCGGCGACGGGUAGCCGGCCUGGGAGGGUGGACGGCCACAUUGGGACUGAGAUACGGCCCAGACUCCUACGGGAGGCAGCAGUGGGGAAUAUUGCACAAUGGGCGGAAGCCUGAUGCAGCAACGCCGCGUGGGGGAUGACGGCCUUCGGGUUGUAAACUCCUUUCGACCGCGAGGAAGCCACCUGGUUGGAAGGGUGGUGACGGUAGUGGUAGAAGAAGCACCGGCUAACUACGUG
rnacentral:rRNA from 1 species